AUUGAACGCUGGCGGCAUGCCUUACACAUGCAAGUCGAACGGUAACGGGCCUUCGGGUGCCGACGAGUGGCGAACGGGUGAGUAAUGUAUCGGAACGUACCUUUCAGUGGGGGAUAACGUAGCGAAAGUUACGCUAAUACCGCAUAUUCUGUGAGCAGGAAAGCAGGGGAUCGCAAGACCUUGCGCUGAUUGAGCGGCCGAUAUCAGAUUAGCUAGUUGGUGAGGUAAAGGCUCACCAAGGCGACGAUCUGUAGCGGGUCUGAGAGGAUGAUCCGCCACACUGGAACUGAGACACGGUCCAGACUCCUACGGGAGGCAGCAGUAGGGAAUAUUGGACGAUGGGUGCGAGCCUGAUCCAGCCAUGCCGCGUGCAGGAAGACGGCCUUCUGGGUUGUAAACUGCUUUUGCCAGGGGAUAAAACGGCUCUGCGGAGCUAAUUGAAGGUACCUGGUGAAUAAGCCACGGCUAACUACGUGCCAGCCGCCGCCGUAACAC
rnacentral:rRNA from 1 species